rnacentral:hammerhead_ribozyme from 1 species
CUCCAGCUGACGAGUCCCAAAUAGGACGAUACUCGCGUCGAACUGGAU